AAUGAUCCACCUCAGCCUCCCAAGUAGCUGGGACCACAGGUGUCUGCCACUACACUUGGCUAAUUUUUUAAUUUUUUGUAGAGAUAGGAGCUUGCUAAGUUGCCCAGGUUGGUUUAGAACUCCUGGCUUCAAGCAGUCCUCCCGCCUUGGGCCCCCAAAGUGCUGGGGUUACAGGCGUGAGCCACUGUGCCCAGCAUGUGCCCUGUUUUAAGUGUAUCUCCUGCUGUAGUCCGUUAACGUGUGCACAUCUCUUCUGUGUUUACUGUGUACCUGCUCUAUGCUGAGAAGAAUGUCUUUUCAAAACUCACACUCUCCCUUAGGAGAGAGAGGUGGCCACAUGAAUGGAGAAUGACUGCAUAGCAUGCUGAGGGCUGUGGUAAAAGAGGCCGAAUGGUGAGCUGCCAGGUACGGCAUCCUUCCUGUGCAGCUGACAUGGUGCCUGACACAUGUCUGCCUGACCAAAGGGGCAGAAGAGGCUUCUCAGGGGAAGUUCUGUUUGAGGUCUUCAGCAGUUCAACAGCUGGGGAAAGGAGGACAAAUGGAGGUGAGUUUGCUCAACUACAGACCUGUCUUCAAGUAUUUCACUGAAGGAAGGCUGCUUGCCACAGACAUAAACCUCUGUCAACAACCUCUCCCAAUUGCAAACGCAGCAGCCUUCUCCCCAGAACCUCCCAGUUUCCUUUCUCUUGGAGGAUUUUGCCGAAAGGGUACCUGAAUAAAGUCAUCCCAUGAGGAAAAGGCACAGUGGGGACUAGAAUGCAGGACCAUCUGUCGCUACAGCCCACGUUCUGCGUCCGUGUCUCUAUACCUCAUGAGCUAUUCUGCUAUGGAAAGUGCCCACGUGAGCUCUCAGUCAGGUUCUGCUCUUGUUCCCAGAGGUUUUAAAAUCCAGCUUUCCCUGGAAAUCCUGCAUGCCUGUUGAAUAAAUG
rnacentral:lncRNA from 1 species